rnacentral:tRNA from 1 species
GUUCUUGUAGUAAAAAUAUUACAGUGGUUCUUCAAAUCACUAGUCUUGGUUAGAGUCCGAGCAAGAAUU